rnacentral:rRNA from 1 species
GAUGAACGCUGGCGGCGUGCCUAAUACAUGCAAGUCGAGCGAACAGACGAGGAGUUUGCUCCUCUGACGUUAGCGGCGGACGGGUGAGUAACACGUGGAUAACCUUCCUAUAAGACUGGGAUAACUUCGGGAAACCGGAGUUAAUACCGGAUAAUAUAUUGAACCGCAUGGUUCAAUAGUGAAAGACGGUUUUGCUGUAACUUAUAGAUGGACCCGCGCCGCAUUAGCUAGUUGGUAAGGUAACGGCGUACCAAGGCAACGAUGCGUAGCCGACCUGAGAGGGUGAUCAGCCACACUGGAAGUGAGACACGGUCCAGGCUCCUUCGGGAGGCAGCAGUAGGGAAUCUUCCGCAAUGGGCGAAAGCCUGACGGAGCAGCGCCGCGUGAGUGAUGAAGGUCUUCGGUUCGUAAAACUCUGUUAUUAGGGAAGAACAAAUGUGUAAGUAACUAUGCACGUCUUGACGGUACCUAAUCAGAAAGCCACGGCUAACUACGUG